GUUAUUGGAUUUACUUCAAUUCAUGUGUGUUGGUGUAGAUUGGAGUAGAAUUUAGUUUAAGUUCCACUCCAAUCCACCUCAACACAUGUGGAUUGAUGUAAAUACGACU
rfam:Sorghum bicolor cultivar BTx623 chromosome 10, whole genome shotgun sequence.